rnacentral:lncRNA from 1 species
GCUCUACUUGCUCACAUUAGGCUGUGGUGUCCUGGAACCUCCAAUAAAUGCACCCAAGAAGAGACACCCCCAUUUGCCAGAUCAAAGUGUGUGUGCUAUUGAUGCGAAGCGAGAAGAGUAAGUGUGCAUGGAGAGGAGGAGAAAGGUGAAAUGGGUGUAUGGUGCACAUAAUAUCAUCACUGGGGCAAAAGUGAACCGCA